rnacentral:rRNA from 1 species
GAGUUUGAUCCUGGCUCAGGACGAACGCUGGCGGCGUGCUUAAAACAUGCAAGUCGAACGGGGUCCAACCUUCGGGUGAAGACCUAGUGGCGAACGGGUGAGUAACACGUGAGCAACCUACCCCAGAGACCGGGAUAAGCGAGGGAAACUUCGUCUAAUACCGGAUAAUCUCCUCCCGCUACUAACGGGUUGAGCAAAUGGUUUUUCGCUUUGGGAUGGGCUCGCGCACUAUCAGCUUGUUGGUGGGGUAAUGGCCUACCAAGGCAUCGACGGUUAGCUGGUCUGAGAGGAUGGUCAGCCACACUGGGACUGAGACACGGCCCAGACUCCUACGGGAGGCAGCAGUUAGGAAUCUUGCGCAAUGGGCGAAAAGCCUGACGCAGCAACGCCGCGUGAGGGAUGAAGGCUCUCGGGUUGUAAACCUCUUUCAGCAGGAACGAAAUUGACGGUACCUGCAGAAGAAGCACCGGCCAACUACGUGCCAGCAGCCGCUGUAAC